rnacentral:rRNA from 1 species
AAUUGCCCGUGAGGCUUGACCAUAUAACACCCAAGCAAUUUGCGUCGAAGAGACCAGAUUGCGGUGUGUGAAGACGAAACGAACCGAAAGUUCGACUGCACUUAAAAAAGCAGCACAAAACACCGAAAGCUGUCACAUACCCAAUUUGCUGAAGCGAGGCCAUCUGGUCACGACUCAGUACCCGAAUUUCUUGACGACCAUAGAGCGUUGGAACCACCUGAUCCCAUCCCGAACUCAGCAGUGAAACGAUGCAUCGCCGAUGGUAGUGUGGGGUUUCCCCAUGUGAGAGUAGGUCAUCGUCAAGA